UCGGUGCGGAUUUUCAAAAACCCGAACCCGAACCUGAACCCGACUCCAAACUCGAGACCCGAACCCGAAUCCGAACCCGACGGAUUUUAAAAAUCCAUAUCCAAAUCCGACAAAAAAUCCGAAACCCGAACCCAAACCCGAACCCGGAAAUUUGAAUCCGAAAGAAUUAUUUCUUUUUUCAAUAUUUCAAAAUAUAUUACAUUAAAUCUAAAUUUCUAAAAUACAAAUUUAAAUAUAACAUCAAAUUUAUUUAUAUAUAUAUAUAGAGUCCGGCUACUAUACUCUUAUGAGUAUAGAGCCUCUUAUACUCAUAAGUUUUUGGCCAUUAGAUCUACCCUUUAAUCAUUUUCACCCGUUAAAUUAUACUAUUCAACUAACCACCCACUCAACUCUAGGGGUCCCACUAUCAACCUAACCGUAACCACUCUCAUCCUAACUGCACAUUUUUUCAUCUGAACGGUCGAAAACUUAUGAGUACAAAGGGCUCUAUACUCAUAUGAGUAUAGUAGCCCCAGCCUAUAUAUAUAUAUAUAUAUAUAUAUACCAGCACGGAGGCCUCCGAAAUA
rnacentral:lncRNA from 1 species